GAUGAACGCUGGCGGCGUGCCUAAUACAUGCAAGUCGAGCGAACGGACGAGAAGCUUGCUUCUCUGAUGUUAGCGGCGGACGGGUGUGUAACACGUGGAUAACCUACCUAUAAGACUGGGAUAUUUUCGGGAAACCGGAGCUUAUACCGGAUAAUCUUUUGAACCGCAUGGUUCAAUAGUGAAUGACGGUCUUGCUGUCACUUAUAGAUGGAUCCGCGCUGCAUUGGCUAGUUGGUAAGGUAACGGCUUACCAAGGCAACGAUGCAUAGCCGACCUGACAGGGGGAUCGGCCACACUGGAACGGAGACACGGUCCAGACGCCUACGGGAGGCAGCAGUAGGGAAUCUUCCGCAAUGGGCGAAAGCCUGACGGAGCAACGCCGCGUGAGUGAUGAAGGUCUUCGGAUCGUAAAACUCUGUUAUUAGGGAAGAACAUAUGUGUAAGUAACUGUGCACAGCGUGACGGUACCUAAUCAGAAAGCCACGGCUAACUACGUG
rnacentral:rRNA from 1 species